rnacentral:rRNA from 2 species
GCUUACGGCCAUACCAGCCUGNNUACGCCCGAUCUCGUCCGAUCUCGGAAGCUAAGCAGGGUCGGGCCUGGUUAGUACUUGGAUGGGAGACCGCCUGGGAAUACCAGGUGCUGUAAGCAU